GUAGUCCACGCCGUAAACGUUGGGCGCUAGGUGUGGGGCUCUUUCCACGAGUUCCGCGCCGCAGCUAACGCAUUAAGCGCCCCGCCUGGGGAGUACGGCCGCAAGGCUAAAACUCAAAGGAAUUGACGGGGGCCCGCACAAGCGGCGGAGCAUGCGGAUUAAUUCGAGGCAACGCGAAGAACCUUACCAAGGCUUGACAUAUACCGAAAACUGUUAGAGAUAGCAGGUCCGCAAGGGCGGUAUACAGGUGGUGCAUGGUUGUCGUCAGCUCGUGUCGUGAGAUGUUGGGUUAAGUCCCGCAACGAGCGCAACCCUCGUUCUAUGUUGCCAGCGGUUCGGCCGGGGACUCAUAGGAGACUGCCGGGGUCAACUCGGA
rnacentral:rRNA from 1 species